rnacentral:rRNA from 1 species
UCGAACGCGAAAGUCCCGCAAGGGAUUAGUAGAGUGGCAAACGGGUGAGUAACGCGUGGGUGACCUGCCCUCGAGUGGGGGAUAACGUCUCGAAAGGGACGCUAAUACCGCAUGACAUCCUGCCUUUGAAGAGGCGGAGAUCAAAGCCGGGGAUCGCAAGACCUGGCGCUUGAUGAGGGGCCCGCGUCUGAUUAGCUAGUUGGUGGGGUAACGGCUCACCAAGGCAACGAUCAGUAUCCGGCCUGAGAGGGCGGACGGACACACUGGGACUGAGACACGGCCCAGACUCCUACGGGAGGCAGCAGUGGGGAAUUGUUCGCAAUGGGCGCAAGCCUGACGACGCAACGCCGCGUGGAGGAUGAAGACCUUCGGGUCGUAAACUCCUUUCGAUCGAGACGAACGGCUUCCGGGUGAACAAUCCGGAAGAGUGACGGUACCGAGAGAAGAAGCCCCGGCCAACUCCGUGCCAGCAGCCGCGGUAAUACGGGGGGGGCAAGCGUUGUUCGGAAUUACUGGGCGUAAAGGGCUCGUAGGCGACCAACUAAGUCAAACGUGAAAUCCCUCGGCUUAACCGGGGAACUGCGCUUGAUACUGGAUGGCUUGAGAUUGGGAGAGGGGUGCGGAAUUCCAGGUGUAGCGGUGAAAUGCGUAGAUAUCUGGAGGAACACCGGUGGCGAAGGCGGCAUCCUGGACCAACACUGACGCUGAGGAGCGAAAGCCAGGGGAGCAAACGGGAUUAGAUACCC